rnacentral:tRNA from 1 species
CAGCAUAUAGUUUAAUUAAAAAUUUAAUUUUUGGGGAAUUAUGAUAUGUUUAUAUUUAUGUUGA